GAAAGAAAAAGAGUGGCGAACGGGUGAGUAACACGUGGGUAACCUGCCCAUCAGAAGGGGAUAACACUUGGAAACAGGUGCUAAUACCGUAUAACACUAUUUUCCGCAUGGAAGAAAGUUGAAAGGCGCUUUUGCGUCACUGAUGGAUGGACCCGCGGUGCAUUAGCUAGUUGGUGAGGUAACGGCUCACCAAGGCAACGAUGCAUAGCCGACCUGAGAGGGUGAUCGGCCACACUGGGACUGAGACACGGCCCAGACUCCUACGGGAGGCAGCAGUAGGGAAUCUUCGGCAAUGGACGAAAGUCUGACCGAGCAACGCCGCGUGAGUGAAGAAGGUUUUCGGAUCGUAAAACUCUGUUGUUAGAGAAGAACAAGGAUGAGAGUAAAAUGUUCAUCCCUUGACGGUAUCUAACCAGAAAGCCACGGCUAACUACGUGCCAGCAGCCGCGGUAAUACGUAGGUGGCAAGCGUUGUCCGGAUUUAUUGGGCGUAAAGCGAGCGCAGGCGGUUUCUUAAGUCUGAUGUGAAAGCCCCCGG
rnacentral:rRNA from 1 species